rnacentral:rRNA from 1 species
CAGCAGCAGCCGCGGGAAUACAGAGGGUGCGAGCGUUAAUCGGAUUUACUGGGCGUAAAGCGUGCGUAGGCGGCUUCUUAAGUCGGAUGUGAAAUCCCUGAGCUUAACUUAGGAAUUGCAUUCGAUACUGGGAAGCUAGAGUAUGGGAGAGGAUGGUAGAAUUCCAGGUGUAGCGGUGAAAUGCGUAGAGAUCUGGAGGAAUACCGAUGGCGAAGGCAGCCAUCUGGCCUAAUACUGACGCUGAGGUACGAAAGCAUGGGGAGCAAACAGGAUUAGAUACCCGUGUAGUCCCUGUCUCUUAUAC